rnacentral:rRNA from 1 species
UGGGGAAUAUUGGGCAAUGGGCGCAAGCCUGACCCAGCAACGCCGCGUGAAGGAAGAAGGCUUUCGGGUUGUAAACUUCUUUUCUCAGGGACGAAGCAAGUGACGGUACCUGAGGAAUAAGCCACGGCUAACUACGUGCCAGCAGCCGCGGUAAUACGUAGGUGGCAAGCGUUAUCCGGAUUUACUGGGUGUAAAGGGCGUGUAGGCGGGAAAGCAAGUCAGAUGUGAAAACCAUGGGCUCAACCUGUGGCCUGCAUUUGAAACUGUUUUCUUGAGUACUGGAGAGGCAGACGGAAUUCCUAGUGUAGCGGUGAAAUGCGUAGAUAUUAGGAGGAACACCAGUGGCGAAGGCGGUCUGCUGGACAGCAACUGACGCUGAGGCUCGAAAGCGUGGGGAGCAAACAGGAUUAGAUACCC